ACCUUGCUCCCCCUUCACCUUCCACCAUGAUUGUAAGUUUCCUGAGGCCUCCCCAGCCAUGCUGAACUGUGAGUCAAUUAAACCACUGUCAUUAAUAAAUUACCCAGUCUUGGGCAUUUUUUUAUACAGUGUGAAAAUGGACUAAUAUGGAUAUUUAUAUCAUUCCCUAGAUUUGGAAAGCUUUCUGCUAUUAUUUUUUAAAAUACACUUUCUACCCCUUUGUGUCUCUCCUCUCCUCUUGAACUUCUAUAAUUUAAAAGUUAGCAUUUUUGAUGUUAUCUGUCCCAUAAAUCCUAUAAGCUUUAUUCACUCUUUUAAAUUUUUUUCUCCUCUGACUGUAUAUUUUCAAAUAACAUGUAUUUGAGUUCACAGAUUAUUUCUUCUGCUCAAUAAAUUUUGCUGUUGACACUCUCUAUUACAUAUUUCAUUUAAUUCAUUGUAUCUCUUAGCUCCAGAAUUUGAUUUUUUAAAAUAUAAUUUUAAUCUUGGCAUUAAAUUUCUAGUUUAUUUAUUGUUUUCCUAAUUUCAUUGAAUUGUUCCUCUAUAUUUUCUUAAAGUUUCCUGAGCUUCCUUAAGCAAUUAUUUUGAAUUUUUCCAGACAGUUUGUGUAUCUCUAUUUCUUUGGGCUCAGCUACUGGGAAAAUAUUUUGUUCUUUUGAUAGUGUUACAUCUCUUUGGUGUUCAUGUUUCUCACUGUCUUUAUUGGUGUGUUAGCAUUUUGUGAAGCAGUUAUCUCUUCCAGACUCUACAGACUAUUUUCAUUGUGGAAUAACUUUACCCUGUGAGUGGUGGGAGAGUAAGAGGGCAUUUGUUAGGCUGGAUGCAGUAGUUCUAGCACCAACGAGGACACAGCUGUAUAGUCUUUGCAGUUCUGUCAGGUAAGGUCAGUGUUCACAAAUAUUUCAGGGAUCCUCAGCCACCAAUGCUGUGGAUGUUCACAGUGAGGGUGAGUGUUGAGGUCUUCAGUGACAAUCCUGCUAAGCUUCUCCCAAUUUCUUUUUCUUCCACUUGGAAACCUAUGACCAAGGGGAUUGCUCUUGGCACUGGAUUGGGCUUGUAGGCUUACUUGUAGUGGCGGUAUCUGAUUGCCUGAUGAAGAAUAAUGCCCCUAGAGAUGCAACACAGCUGAUGUCUGAAGCACAGGCAUGCCUGGAGAGUCUACAGUUUUGUGGUCUGGGGUGGUAAUAACACUGGUGCCUUAGAAGCAGGACCCUGUGGCUGCAUUGGAAAUAGUAUGUGAGGCAUGAAUGUUAGUGAAGCAGCCAGGGAGCCAAGAAUGGGAGCAUGGGUGUGUGCAGAGCUAUAGUGUUUCCAGAAUCAAACUCAUUGUUUAGCCGAGCCACCGUCUAGAUCACAGACACAUCCAGUGAAAGCUUGGCCUCAGGAUUUGGAAUGCAAACUACCUUGCAAUGAUGAUGGCUCUGGUGUCUGGGAAGUGAAUGGUCUGAGUGCAGCCAUGGGGCCUAGGUUUGGAUUGUAGCAUUAACAGGCUGACUGUGGCUCCAGUGUUAGGGCAUGUAUAGGUUGGAAGAGAUAGUGGCUCCUUUCUCAUAGUGGCUCAAUCUCAGCCACUUCUUCGGUGUAGGAAAGAUGUGCAACCACAUCAUCCUCUUGGGAGUUCCUCAGUGUGAAUGGCUGUUGGACACAUCAGUGAUAAAAGAUGCCAGUGUCUUCUGUGGAGAGGCCACUGGGGACCACAGUGGUUCCUUCUAUGUGGCUGAUGCUAAUAGACUCUCACUUUCUUCUUCAUUCCUAGUCAUUUUUGGCAUCUCUUAUCAAUGAUCAUUUCUAUGUUGAUAUUCUCCAUGUUUUAUUUUUCCUACACUCUUUUGCUAAAGAUUCUUUAAUGAGCUUGUGAGCCCUUUCUGGGCUAUUUUUGUUUAUGGAUAGCUGUCUGUAUUUGUGUUUUGUUUGUGAGAGCAUAAAGGCUAGUAUCUCCUAUUCUGCUCUCUUCAUGAUGCUACUAUCUGAACUGAUCCCAAGCCUGUUUUGCUGGAGGUAAUUUCAAGAGACACAAGAGCCAAUUUAAAGAGCUACCAAUGGUCACAGCUAGAAAACAAAAAAAUAAAAAAGCAA
rnacentral:lncRNA from 10 species